CUGAUACUCCAGCUACUGGCUCCGGGGCUGCCGCUUACCUCGGCCGCUGCACAACCGCACGCUGGACGGCGCCUCGGGACGCACCGGGAAUCUGCCGCUGCUGCCGCCGCCUGCUCGGCGCACAAGAUACUGCUACAACACAGCAACUCGACAGCCUCAUUACAGACAGAAGAGUACAAAGGAAAGUACUUCAUGUAGAU